AACGAACGCUGGCGGCAUGCCUAACACAUGCAAGUCGAACGAGACCUUCGGGUCUAGUGGCGCACGGGGGCGUAACGCGUGGGAACCUGCCCUUAGGUUCGGAAUAACUCUCCGAAAGGGGUGCUAACACCGGACAAUGUCUUCGGACCCAAGAUUUAUUGCCCUUGGAGGGGCCCGAGUUGGAUUAGCUAGUUGGUAGGGUAAAAGCUUACCAAGGCGACGAUCCAUAGCUGGUCUGAGAGGAUGAUCAGCGACACUGGGACUGGGACACGGCCCAGACUCCUACGGAAGGCAGCAGUGGCGAAUGUUGGACCAUGGGCGGAAGGCUGAUGCAGCAAUGCCGCGUGAGUGAUGAAGGCCUUAGGGUUGUAAAGCUCUUUUAACCGGGAUGAUAUUGACGGUACCGAGAGAGUAAGCUCCGGCUAACUACGUG
rnacentral:rRNA from 1 species